CGCUGGCGGCGUGCCUAACACAUGCAAGUCGAACGGGGAUUUGUUUCGGCAGAAUCCUAGUGGCGAACGGGUGAGUAACGCGUAGGCAACCUGCCCUCCGGCCGGGGACAACACUCCGAAAGGGGUGCUAAUACCGGAUACGAAGAUAAUACCGCAUGGUGAUAUUUUGAAGAUGGCCUCUAUUUAUAAGCUAUCGCCGGGGGAUGGGCCUGCGUCCGAUUAGCUGGUUGGUGGGGUAACGGCCUACCAAGGCGACGAUCGGUAGCCGGUCUGAGAGGAUGAACGGCCACAUUGGGACUGAGACACGGCCCAGACUCCUACGGGAGGCAGCAGUGGGGAAUCUUCCGCAAUGGGCGCAAGCCUGACGGAGCAACGCCGCCGUGAGUGAGGAAGUUCUUCGGAACGUAAAGCUCUGUUGUUCCUGACGAACCUCCCCUUUAUCAACAACGGAGGGGACUGACGGUAGGGAACGAGGAAGCCACGGCUAACUACGUGCCAGCCGCCGC
rnacentral:rRNA from 1 species